GCUGCGCGUGGGCUGCGCGCUCUCGAGAUUUUCGAUCUUGAAUAGGGGUGCAACGGGGGUGCAACGCCCCCCUGCAACG
rnacentral:tRNA from 1 species